rnacentral:tRNA from 3 species
GGGUCGUUAGCUCAGUUGGUAGAGCAGUUGACUUUUAAUCAAUUGGUCGCAGGUUCGAAUCCCGCACGGCCCACCA